GAUGAACGCUAGCGGCAGGCUUAACACAUGCAAGUCGAGGGGUAGAGGCUUUCGGGCCUUGAGACCGGCGCACGGGUGCGUAACGCGUAUGCAAUCUGCCUUUCACAGAGGGAUAGCCCAGAGAAAUUUGGAUUAAUACCUAAUAGCAUAAUCAGACCGCAUGGUUUGAUUAUUAAAGUCACAACGGUGAAAGAUGAGCAUGCGUCCCAUUAGCUAGUUGGUAAGGUAACGGCUUACCAAGGCAACGAUGGGUAGGGGUCCUGAGAGGGAGAUCCCCCACACUGGUACUGAGACACGGACCAGACUCCUACGGGAGGCAGCAGUGAGGAAUAUUGGUCAAUGGGCGCAAGCCUGAACCAGCCAUGCCGCGUGCAGGAUGACGGUCCUAUGGAUUGUAAACUGCUUUUGUACGGGAAGAAACACUCCUACGUGUAGGAGCUUGACGGUACCGUAAGAAUAAGGAUCGGCUAACUCCGUGCCAGCCGCCGCAGUAACAC
rnacentral:rRNA from 1 species